AUUGAACGCUGGCGGCAUGCUUUACACAUGCAAGUCGAACGGUAACAGGCCGCAAGGUGCUGACGAGUGGCGAACGGGUGAGUAAUGCAUCGGAACGUGCCCAGUCGUGGGGGAUAACGCAGCGAAAGCUGUGCUAAUACCGCAUACGAUCUGCGGAUGAAAGCGGGGGACGGUAAGGCCUCGCGCGAUUGGAGCGGCCGAUGUCAGAUCAGGUAGUUGGUGGGGUAAAGGCUCACCAAGCCGACGAUCUGUAGCUGGUCUGAGAGGACGACCAGCCACACUGGGACUGAGACACGGCCCAGACUCCUACGGGAGGCAGCAGUGGGGAAUUUUGGACAAUGGGCGCAAGCCUGAUCCAGCAAUGCCGCGUGCAGGAAGAAGGCCUUCGGGUUGUAAACUGCUUUUGUACGGAGCGAAAAGGCUCUCUCUAAUACAGGGGGCUCAUGACGGUACCGUAAGAAUAAGCACCGGCUAACUACGUGCCAGCAGCCGCGGUAAUAC
rnacentral:rRNA from 1 species